rnacentral:rRNA from 1 species
CAAUAGCGUAUAUUAAAGCUGUUGCGGUUAAAAAGCUCGUAGUUGGAUUUCUGUCAAGGACAACUGGUCCGCCCUCCGGGUGAGCACAUAGUUUGGUCUUGGCAUCUUGCUGGAAACUGUUGCUGCGCUUAGUUGUGUGGUGCAGCUUUCAGCACUUUCACUUUGAGGAAAUUGGAGUGUUUCAAGCAGGCACAUGCCUUUGGACACAGUAGCAUGGAAUAAUUAGAUUGGGCUUUUGCUCCAACUUGUUGGUUCCUGGAGCUGAGGUGAGAAUCAAUGGGGAUUGUUGGGGGCAUCCGAAUUUAGCCGUCAGAGGUGAAAUUCUUGGAUCUGCUAAAGACGGACAACUGCGAAAGCGUUUGCCCAGGAUGUUUUCAUUGA